rnacentral:rRNA from 1 species
UACGGAAGGCAGCAGUGGGGAAUAUUGCACAAUGGGCGCAAGCCUGAUGCAGCCAUGCCGCGUGUAUGAAGAAGGCCUUCGGGUUGUAAAGUACUUUCAGUCGUGAGGAAGGUGUUAAGGUUAAUAACCUUAGCAAUUGACGUUAGCGACAGAAGAAGCACCGGCUAACUCCGUGCCAGCAGCCGCGGUAAUACGGAGGGUGCGAGCGUUAAUCGGAAUUACUGGGCGUAAAGGGCACGCAGGCGGUUAAUUAAGUUGGAUGUGAAAUCCCCGGGCUUAACCUGGGAAUGGCAUUCAAGACUGGUUAGCUAGAGUCUUGUAGAGGGGGUAGAAUUCCAUGUGUAGCGGUGAAAUGCGUAGAGAUGUGGAGGAAUACCGGUGGCGAAGGCGGCCCCUGGGACAAAGACUGACGCUCGAUGUGCGAAAGCGUGGGGAGCAAACAGGAUUAGAUACC